UGGGGAAUAUUGCACAAUGGGCGCAAGCCUGAUGCAGCCAUACCGCGUGUGUGAAGAAGGCCUUCGGGUUGUAAAGCACUUUCAGCGGGGAGGAAGGCGUUAAGGUUAAUAACCUUGGCGAUUGACGUUACCCGCAGAAGAAGCACCGGCUAACUCCGUGCCAGCAGCCGCGGUAAUACGGAGGGUGCAAGCGUUAAUCGGAAUUACUGGGCGUAAAGCGCACGCAGGCGGUCUGUCAAGUCGGAUGUGAAAUCCCCGGGCUCAACCUGGGAACUGCAUUCGAAACUGGCAGGCUAGAGUCUUGUAGAGGGGGGUAGAAUUCCAGGUGUAGCGGUGAAAUGCGUAGAGAUCUGGAGGAAUACCGGUGGCGAAGGCGGCCCCCUGGACAAAGACUGACGCUCAGGUGCGAAAGCGUGGGGAGCAAACAGG
rnacentral:rRNA from 1 species